rnacentral:rRNA from 1 species
AUGAUGGGAAUCUAAACCCUUCCCAGAGUAUCAAUUGGAGGGCAAGUCUGGUGCCAGCAGCCGCGGUAAUUCCAGCUCCAAUAGCGUAUAUUAAAGUUGUUGCAGUUAAGAAGCUCGUAGUUGAAUUUCUGCCUUGUCAUUAAUCUCGCUUCCGAGCGUUUUUUUAUUGGCUUGGCAUCAUCUGGAUUUGGUGCCUUCGGGUACUGUUUCCAGGGUUUACUUUGAGAAAACUAGAGUGUUUCAAACAGGCAUUUGCCUUGAAUACUACAGCAUGGAAUAAUGAAGUAGGACUUUGGUUCUAUUUUGUUGGUUAUUGAACCAGAGUAAUGGUUAAUAGGAGCAGUUGGGGGCAUUCGUAUUUA